ensembl:lncRNA novel transcript, antisense to HS3ST1
AUUGCAAACGUCAGCUCUGAAAUAAAAAGCAGGAUAUUUCUGCCCCGCUCCUCUAUUCCGGAAGCUGGGAGGUUCUGUGGGAGAAAGGACCUGCACCCAAUAACUCAAUUUAAGAUUUAAGGUUUUGAGGGGCGUGGGGUUGGAAUCGCCUUGGAGAAACGGGUUUGCCUGCUUACCUGAGCCAAAGGAAGUUGCCCUCAAAGGCAGAAGAAAUUAAAUCAUUUUUGGGAAGCCCUCAAGGUACCAUAAGCUCUGGGCAGUGUGCCUAAGACUUCUAAUGGAGAAUUUAGCCCUGUGCAGAUGAUAUUGCAGAGGAGGAAUGCUUAGUUAAUUUAGUUCCAGGAUACCUGUGCAGGACAUGACAUGCAGGUUUGUCAUGUAGGUAAACAUGUGCCAUGGUGGUUUGCUGCACCUGUCGACCCAUCACCUAGAAGGAAAAAAUUGGACACGGAGAUAAGGACAGAGGAAAGAUGAUGUGAAGACAGGGGCAGAAGUCAGCCAUCUACAAGUCAAAGGGAGACAUGUGGAACAGAUUCACCCUCACAGCCCUCAGAUGGAAGCAACACCACUAACACUUUGCUCUUGGACUUCUAGCUUCCAGAACUGAGAGACAAUAUCUUUCUGUUGCUUAAGUCAUUCUGUCUGUGAUACUGUGUUUAUGGCAGCCCUGGCAAACUAAUACAGUCCCACAAAGAUUUGGUUGUUGCUUUGCAAGAGAAUGUAUAAUUCCUGGUUAUUUCUACAAAUAAGGGCAUUGACUUUAUAAAGCUACAAGUAUACCCCAGUAUUCUGUUUCUGGUUUUUGUUUACUUUCAUAUAUGCUAUCUUUUCAUUCCCAGGUGAAAUCAUAGUGCAUUUUAAAUGAUAUUUUAAAGAGCAAUUAUACUCGUCAUAUGUACUUCAAAUAAUACUGAUUCCUCAAUUGAAGUAAUGGUAACAUGAGUGUAUUAGUUAAUUUUUUCUGAAUAACUAGUUACCUCCAAAGUUCAUGCCUUCAAGCAACACAUAUUCAUUAUUUCACAGCUUCUUUGGGUCAGGAGUCUUGGCAUAGCUUAGCUGAGUCCUCUGGCUCCUGGCGUCCCAGGCUGUAAUCAAGGUGGUGGCCAGGACUGUAGUCAUGUCAGGGCUCGCCAGGGAAGGAUCUGCCUCCAAGCUAACCAGUGUGGCUUUUGGCAGAAUAUAUUUCUAUGCAGGUUGUUGGACUGAGUUUCUUGCUGGCUGUUCCAGAGGUUCCCUUAGCAUCUUGUCGUGUGGCCUCUUCAUAGGUCAAUUCAUAUUGGCUUCAUCAAAGUGAGCAGGUAAGAUAGCAAAAGAGAAUGCCCAAGAUAGAAGCCAUAGUCUUUUUGUAAUCUAAUCUUAGAAGUGACAGCCUGUUAUAUUUGCUAUAUUCUCUUUGUUAGAAACAAGUUUCUAGGGCUGGGCAUGGUGGCUCACAUCUGUAAUCCCAGCAUUUUGGGAGGCCGAGACAGGCAGAUCACCUGAGGUCAGGAGUUCGAGACCAGCCUGGCCAACAUGGCGAAAUCCUGUCUCUACUAAAAAUACAAAGCCGAGUGUGGUGGCGCAGGCCUGUAAUCCCAGCUACUUGGGAGGCUAAGGCAGGAGAAGCACUUGAACCUGGGUGGUGGAGGUUGCAGUGAGCCAAGAUUGUGCCACUGCACUCCAGCCUGGGUGAC